rnacentral:sRNA from 1 species
GCCAGGUGCAGUGGCCCACGCCUGUAAUCCCAGUGCCUUGGGAGGCUGAGGCAGGAGGAUCUCGAGUUCAAAGCCAGCCUCAGCAAAAACAAGGUACUAAGCAAUUCAGUGAGACCCUGUCUCUA